GAUGAACGCUGGCGGCGUGCCUAAUACAUGCAAGUCGAGCGAACAGACGAGGAGCUUGCUCCUCUGACGUUAGCGGCGGACGGGUGAGUAACACGUGGAUAACCUACCUAUAAGACUGGGAUAACUUCGGGAAACCGGAGCUAAUACCGGAUCAUAUAUUGAACCGCAUGGUUCAAUAGUGAAAGACGGUUUUGCUGUCACUUAUAGAUGGAUCCGCGCCGCAUUAGCUAGUUGGUAAGGUAACGGCUUACCAAGGCAACGAUGCGUAGCCGACCUGAGAGGGUGAUCGGCCACACUGGAACUGAGACACGGUCCAGACUCCUACGGGAGGCAGCAGUAGGGAAUCUUCCGCAAUGGGCGAAAGCCUGACGGAGCAACGCCGCGUGAAUGAUGAAGGUCUUCGGAUCGUAAAACUCUGUUAUUAGGGAAGAACAAAUGUGUAAGUAACUAUGCACGUCUUGACGGUACCUAAUCAGAAAGCCACGGCUAACUACGUG
rnacentral:rRNA from 1 species